rnacentral:rRNA from 1 species
UUCGAUGAAGAACGUAGCGAAAUGCGAUACUUUGUGUGAAUUGCAGAAUCCCGUGAAUCAUCGAAUCUUUGAACGCAAGUUGCGCCCGAGGCCCUAGGUCGAGGGCACGUCUGGCUGGGUGUGGUGAU